AGGGAUGACCAUGAAUUAGUGGGUUACCCA
rnacentral:piRNA from 1 species